rnacentral:tRNA from 1 species
GCCCUGGUAGAGGCUCUUUCAUACAGGUCAAAACGUGGCCCGAACGGGUUUCUACCCGGCUGGUCAGGGGUUCGAAUCCUCUCGGGGGCG